UCUUCUCGAGGUCCUACAUGGAAAGCACCCAAGUGCGCACAACAGGAAAACGGAGUUGACUGUGGCCUAUACGUUAUGAGAUUCAUGUAUGACAUAGUGAUGAGUCACUGUACAGACACACGUCAGCUUGAAGAGUUUUGCAAGGGGCAAACGGGACUUCCAUACACGAGUGAGGAACUCCAUGUAAUUCGGGAGAUGUUGGCGACCUACGUCACAUUUAAUUUGUAAAUAUCGUCAUACAUUUUUGUACUAUAUCAUCUCUUCAUCAAUCCUAGGCUUAGCUUAUUAAUUAUGUACUAUACAUGAAACA